GACCAAGUAGCUCAGGUGGUAGAGCAGCAUCCCUGUUCAAGGUGCCGGUCGCGUGUUCAACUCAUGCCUUGGUCG